AGAAAAUAGUUUAUUAAAAUAUUAAUUUUGGAGAUUAAAGAUGAGGGUACUUUUUUCUGAU
rnacentral:tRNA from 1 species